GUCUUAAUAGUAUAAAUAUUACUCUGGUCUUGUAAACCAGAAAUGAAGAUCUAAUCUUCUUAAGACA
rnacentral:tRNA from 1 species